rnacentral:tRNA from 1 species
GCCGGCGUGGCGAAACUGGCAGACGCACGGGACUCAAAAUCCCGCGGUAGCAAUACCAUGUGGGUUCGAUUCCCUCCGCCGGCA